UCUAGAAGCUUUAUUUCAACCCUUUACAAUAGUAAGAAUCACAACAUCAAGUCAGGAAAUGUUGCUAAGGAGACGACGCUCGUACAGCCCCCGGGGUGGGGAGACACAAAGGCAGAAGCAACCGCUGGGCUCCCCCCUGAGCUGCUGCCUCACACCGAGCACUGAUCUCCCCUCACAGCCCCCGCCUCCCCACCACGGUGCAGGGACCGCGGAGUCCCCCCUCCUCGGGCACGCCCUGCAGAAUAAUCCAAUAAUCCUAUGACACAAAAUAAUAAUAACACGUCACAUUUAGAGAACACGUUCACGCGCUGCUCGCGCCUCACAACAGCCCGGUGAGGUAAAAUUGAAUCCCCCCCACCUUUGCAGAUGGGGAAACUGAGGCAGAGAGGUUGAGUGGCUUCCCGAGGGAGCCGAGGGCCGGGAUCGCCCUCCGGGGCGCUGCCCCGAGCCCUCGUGCCCGGCCGCACGCCCCAGCCCGCGGUCACUGCGCUCGCUCCUUGGUGCUCUGCGUGAGGGAGAGCGGGGGCUGCGGGCGGCCGGGCGGGGACGGCGAGGGGCGCUGCGGCCUCGUGUGUGAUCUCGGCCGGCGGGACCCGUGCGAGGAGGGCGGAAGGUGAGCGCUGCCAGGCUGGGGCUCAGGCGGGGAGGGAGGAGGGAGAGCCGGAGCCCCUCAGAGCCCUUUCCAUGCUGCUGCUGCUGCUGCUGCCGCCCGGAGCCUCCUCUGCCCCACCUGCCAGCUCCGCGGGCCACGAGGCCUUGGGGACAUUUCCCCUCAGCCUGGAGGCCGCUCAGCCCCUUGGGGGACAUUUCCCCUCAGCCUGGAGGUCACUCGGCCUUGAGGGACAUUUCCCCUCAGCCUGGAGGCCGCUCAGCCCCUUGGGGGACAUUUCCCCUCGGCCUGGAGGCCGCUCGGCCUCGGGGACAUUUCUCCAUGCCUUGAGGCUGCUGAGCCCCAGCGCGGCCGCUCGGCCUCAGCGAGGCCGCGGCCCCGCGGGGACUCGGCCCUGCCCUCAGGGGAGCCCCGUCACCCCAAGGACGCCACCGACACCAAGCUCCAAGAAAAGUAGGAAUUCUGCCUAGACACGAACACGUGAGGCCCGGGGCCCCUCUCACACACCACACUACGCGGGGACAGCGCGAGGGGCAGCGUAGAAAACUACAUUCAGUUUGCGGCCGGGAGCCGAGCGGGAGCCACGCUGGGGCGGCCGCGGCCUCGAGCCCACCAACUCGGUUACUCGAAUGUUGCUGUUUAACAGUACAAAAAGCCCAAAGAACUGUGGAUGCCACUGAUAUGCCGAGAGGCGCCGGGCUCCGGCGGCUGCCGGCCGGGGAAGGCUCCGGCCGCCCGGAGGAAGCGCGGCCCCGCCGGGGUGGAGCUCGCACCCGGCCCCGCCGCUUCCCCCAGCCCUGCGGCAGCUCAGCCCCUCCAGAGCGCCGCUCCUCACCCUGAGCUCUGCAAAGGCCUUUGCCGAGCAUCCUGCCCGGAGCCAGCCACCGACCUGGCCCCGCUCAGCCCCUGCCCAGCCCACAGUGCCCCCAGUGCGGCCAAAGCCAGGACCCCCGGCGCCAGCUCGGGACAGGAACGUGUACAUUCAACUUGCAUCUCAUUCAGAGCUCAGCUCCUGUUUCCCCCGGGAUUCGCUGCCUCCAGCCCUCGAUGGAGCCACCGGCGCCCGCAGCCCCUUCCCCAGCAGCAUUAAGGUCUCAGCACUACCCAGCUCAUCCCACCUCUCCAGACAGGAAACUAAAGUCAUUCCCACCACACACGGCUCCUUCCCAGCCUAGCAAUAUGUACAGCCGCUUCCUCAAAGUUAAAAAAGAAAUCCGUAUUAAAACUGAAGCUGUCCUAGAAACACCACGGCAAACUAGUGUAUCUGGAUUUAGUUCAUCAGCUAAACACAGGCACAACAAGUGUUAGAGAAGUGGCACAGAAGCACGGGCCGGGGGUGAGCUGGGCCGGGGUUUGGGCAGGGACAGCCUGGGCACCGCACGCAGCCACCGCGCCCGGCCAGGGCCGCCCGGCGCUCGGGGAAUCAUCGGGAAUCGGAGAAAAGCAGUGCAGGGAGGUGACUCACUGUCCCUUUGCAGCGGGGCAGGGCUGUUUGCUUUUUGCAAUCUCAGAAGAUAAAGUGCAAUGUUGCCAUUUGCUUUCCUCCUGCAGUCCCUGAACCGGGACCGGCUGCUUCCCUUUGCCCGGGGCCUCACCUGGGCACCCUGGGAAUACCAUCCUGGGGCACCCUGGGAAUGUCAUCCUGGGGUAUCCCAGGGAAUCUCAUCCUGGGGCAUCCCAGGCCACCAUCCCUGGGGUGCCCCAGGAAGAGCAGCAAGAGGAACAAGACAUCUCAGCCUGCACCUCCUCUUUGGUUGCCCCCGCACAUCUCCGGCUGCCGCCAGCUCACAAACGCUGCUCCCAGCGCCCCUCCCGGCCGGUGAGCCUGGAGCUCGGCUCCGGCCCUGCCGAGGCCACCCCGGCUGCUUAUAGGCUGGGAACAGAGGCUCCAGGCUCACCGUCCUGCCGAGGGGCUCACCCUGCUCCUCUCCUCUCCUAAUUCUCCCUCAAUUCAAGUGUUGGAAAAAAAAUAAUCGACCAAAGCAAAGGCAAGGCUGCCAAGCUGAAGCUGGUGUGUAGAAUUUAGCAGUAAAGAAAGAAGGAAGCGUCACGGGAGGGCAGUGAUAUAUACCGGCACACGGGGAUCGAGCAGGGCUCCGGGGAGCGGGGCCGCCUCCAGCUCCUCCUCCGGGAACGCCGGGGACACAGGGACACACAGGGAGGGCACGGAGCGACGGCACGGCCGCCUGCCCCGCCGGGGUCACAGGGAUGCGGAGGGGAGUGGGGAGGUGGGGAGGAGGAGGAGGAGGAAAAGGAGGAGGAGAAGGAGGAGGAAGACGAAGGGAAGCACUGGGAGGUCUCUGGGUAUAUAUAACCGCCCCUUUCAGGUGCAAAUCUGCAUCGUUUAAAUUUGUAUUCAGAUGAAAAAGCACUUAUGAAACUACCAGACGACUUUGAUGCAAACUAGUACAUUUUAAUGCCAUUUUAUUAGAAACCAUGCAAACUUUAAUAUAAAAAAUACAAGUGCAAUAAGAAUCUUUGUGUGUAAAUACAGAUUCCGGGUUAUCGUGUCGUUGUUGGCUUCCCAAAGAAAUACUCCCACAAGCACGAGAAGCUGCAGGCUUCCCUCUGUCCCCUCCUGGAGCAGCCCCCCUUAGCACACACCUGGUUCAGUUCUCUUUGAUCCCAGUGUUUUGUUAUUCUGCUUGCCUUUUUUUUUUUUUGUUUCUUUAAAUUAGUUCGACCACCCAAGAACACUUUUCUUUUGUUUUAAUUUAUUUACAUUUCGUUUCUUUAGU